rnacentral:rRNA from 1 species
CCCCAGACUCCUACGGGAGGCAGCAGUGGGGAAUAUUGCACAAUGGGGGAAACCCUGAUGCAGCGACGCCGCGUGAGUGAAGAAGUAUUUCGGUAUGUAAAGCUCUAUCAGCAGGGAAGAAAAUGACGGUACCUGACUAAGAAGCCCCGGCUAACUACGUGCCAGCAGCCGCGGUAAUACGUAGGGGGCAAGCGUUAUCCGGAUUUACUGGGUGUAAAGGGAGCGUAGACGGCAUGGCAAGUCAGAUGUGAAAGCCCGGGGCUCAACCCCGGGACUGCAUUUGAAACUGUCAGGCUGGAGUGCAGGAGAGGUAAGUGGAAUUCCUAGUGUAGCGGUGAAAUGCGUAGAUAUUAGGAGGAACACCAGUGGCGAAGGCGGCUUACUGGACUGUAACUGACGUUGAGGCUCGAAAGCGUGGGGAGCAAACAGGAUUAGAUACCCGCGUA